rnacentral:pre_miRNA from 1 species
GUAGUACUCCUCCGUCCAGAAAUACUUGUCAUCAAAAUGAAUAAAAGGGGAUGUAUCUAGAUAUAUUUUAGUUCUAGAUACAUCCCUUUUUGUCCAUUUUGAUGACAAGUAUUUUCGGACGGAGGGAGUAUUUU